rnacentral:lncRNA from 1 species
UUGGACAAGCUCUUCAUCUGCCUCAUGUCCUCCUCGUAGUCGCUCAGGUUGAAGUUGAUGUCAGCCUCUACUCCCCUGAACUUGAUCGCCGCCCUGUCGUACGCCCUGCAUCCAUCCAUCAUCAUUCAAUUCUCUCAAUCUCCUUCACAAACACAGAGCUCAUGUUCUGAUGAAUGAUGUGAUGUGUUCUUUACCUUGCAGCUGCGUGAGCAGUGUCGAAUCCACCUGUGAUUGUUUGGGAGAAGAUGAAGGUGUUUGUUAGAUUGUUCAUGGCGAUGUCGCGUUGGAUUGAGAGGAGGAAGAUGAUGUGUUCGAUGAAAUUACCUAGGUAGACUUGCUUGCCGCAAUCCCAGAUGUGGGAUUCCCAGCGGCCGGUGCGGCGGUAGAAGGUGACGCCGCGGUAUUGCGAGCUGCGAGAGCGCGGCCCGCGGCGGCUUUUCUUGGCCGCCUGAGGCUGCGGCUGCGGCGGCGGCGGCGGUGGCGCCGGGGGAGGCGCGUGGGCGAGGAUUCUGAUGUCUGGGUGUGGGCGCGGUGGGUCGGGGCGGAGGAAGCCGAGCUCCGCCCAAUGCUGCGGCGAGGGAGCGGCGGAAGGGAAUAGCUCCCGGGUGACGAGCAGCUGCUGGUGUUGGUGGUGCGGCGGCGGCGAGGGGGUGGCCUCCUCCUCCUCGUCGUCGUCGGCGUCGUUCUCGCCCGACGCCGACGCCGAGCUCCUCAGGAUGCUGAACUCGAGCACCGCCGCGGGAGGCGGCGGCGGCGACGGCGGCGUCGAGCUCGACCCCUCUUCCGCCGGCGCGAUGGCCGCGCCAGACGCCUCCCCGUUGAGCACCGACGACUCCGACGUGCCGGAGUCGCUCCUCGCCGCCGUCUCAUGCUUCUCCACCACCCCUUCCGCCACGUUGUUCAGAUCCAACUCCAUCACAAAGCAGGCAAGCAAUCGAUCGAACACCUUCCGAUCGAUCGACCACUCACCCAACCAAACCCAAAACCAAAACAAAAAACCAAAAAUCUCCGCCGAGUUCACAAGCUAGAGCAAACCGCAACCAAUCUCAACGACGGAUUGAGCAGCUGGCUCCCGCUCGGGCUGGGAAUUGGCGCGGCGUGGAGUCUAUUUCAAGAAGAAGAACCAGAGGAGGAAGAGGUAGAAGCAGGAGAGGGCCGACUCGUUCUGGCGGUACAUUUAGCCGAUCACCUCAGUCCCAGUCCUUGACGAACAUCCCUACCCUACCCACUCCCCCCCGUCGCCGGAGACGAAUCCACGACGAUGCUUACCACCGUACGUACGUCGCCGCGCUCACGAAUCAACGAAAAAUGAAGGGAACAGAACAACAAUUCACCACCACACCACACCACGGGGAAGAAGAAGAAGAAGAAGCAGAGGUGGGUGAGGUGAGGUGGUGGUGGUGGUCUCCGGCGCCGGCGAGCGGUGGCGAGGAGGAGAAAAAGGAGGGAGGGGGGGAUAUAUAGAUAGAAGGCGGGAAGUAGCCGGUGGGCAGCCGGUUAUCCUUAAAAUCCUUCCCGAUUUGGGCGCCCCGUUUUUCUUCUUUUCUUUUUUCUUUUUUUUUCCCUUCUCUUCUCUCAUUUGCUCAGGUCCUCGUUUGGCCAAAAGGGCUUAUUAGGAAAUAAAAAUAUAUUUAUAGGUGAAACUUUUAUAAAUAUGCUUUUGGUGACUUAAAAGUUAAUAUUGAAAAAGAAACUACAUUAAAAAUAUCUUAAAAUUAAGCUGGAAAAUUUAAAAUUUGACUUUUUCUUUGAUUGAUUAGGCCAUUUGAUGGUAGCCUCAUUUGGUGUGUGCGUGCGCCUGCCAUUGGUUGCUUGCUCUGGGCUCAAAAUAUCUUUCCUGACAGAGGGCCCAAGGCCAAGGGUAGGAGUAGCUUGGAAAUAUGAAGCUACGUGGCUGCCUCCAUCGUAUGUAAGGUAAGGUAUGG